rfam:Firmicutes bacterium CAG:536 genomic scaffold, scf46
UAAAAAAGUAUAGCGCCAGGACUGUAUCGAUUUAGAUAUAGUUGACGAGGUUCAGGCUUAUCGAAAAAUUCGGCGGGUGGCCUGAAGGUUGAUACGACCUUAAAUAAGGACAAAACCAACUUGUGAGAGUUGAACAAAUUCCUUAGAGUAUCCUCCA